rnacentral:rRNA from 1 species
UGUCUUGUAAUUGGAAUGAUGGUGACUUAAAGCCUCACCAGAGUAGCAAUUGGAGGGCAAGUCUGGUGCCAGCAGCCGCGGUAAUUCCAGCUCCAAUAGCGUAUAUUAAACUUGUUGCAGUUAAAAAGCUCGUAGUUGUAUUUUUGCUUGGCGGUUUGUUGCCUUUGUGGCUUGAUUCCGGUUGGCUUUUGGCUUUUGCCUUAUUACUUUGAGAAAAUUAGAGUGUUUCAAGCAGACUUUUGUCUUGAAUACUGUAGCAUGGAAUAAUGGAGUAGGACUUGGGUUCUAUUUUGUUGGUUUGGGAACCUUGGUAAUGGUUAAUAGGAACGGUUGGGGGCAUUCGUAUUUAACAGUCAGAGGUGAAAUUCUUAGAUUUGUUAAAGACGAACUACUGCGAAAGCAUUUGCCAAGGACGUUUCCAUUAAUCAAGAACGAAAGUUAGGGGAUCGAAGACGAUCAGAUACCGUCGUAGUCCUAACCAUAAACUAA